GAUGAACGCUGGCGGCGUGCCUAAUACAUGCAAGUCGAGCGAAUGGAUUAAGAGCUUGCUCUUAUGAAGUUAGCGGCGGACGGGUGAGUAACACGUGGGUAACCUGCCCAUAAGACUGGGAUAACUCCGGGAAACCGGGGCUAAUACCGGAUAACAUUUUUAACCGCAUGGUUCGAAAUUGAAAGGCGGCUUCGGCUGUCACUUAUGGAUGGACCCGCGUCGCAUUAGCCAGUUGGUGAGGUAACGGCUCACCAAGGCAACGAUGCGUAGCCGACCUGAGAGGGUGAUCGGCCACACUGGGACUGAGACACGGCCCAGACUCCUACGGGAGGCAGCAGUAGGGAAUCUUCCGCAAUGGACGAAAGUCUGACGGAGCAACGCCGCGUGAGUGAUGAAGGCUUUCGGGUCGUAAAACUCUGUUGUUAGGGAAGAACAAGUGCUAGUUGAAUAAGCUGGCACCUUGACGGUACCUAACCAGAAAGCCACGGCUAACUACGUGCCAGCAGCCGCCGUAA
rnacentral:rRNA from 1 species